UAUUAUUAGAACUACUGACCGGAAGAAAAGCUAAAUUUCAAGAUGAUUAUGAACCAGGAAAGGCAAGAGAACUUGUGUAUUUUAUAAACACAGUUAUUAAGAACUAUAAGGCACUUUUUUGGGGUUGCCUGGCCAGUGCUUGAUGAUACGGACGAACUUAAUAAUAAGGUUUUGAAUAAGGCUUUGGGUAGGGUUUUAGAUCGGGCGGUUGCCCUGCCAGGGCCUGAUGAUAAAGACGCGCUGGAGUUGGUGUUCAAGACUGCACUUCGAUGUGUGAAUUCCAUGCCAACUAUGACUAACAUCGUUGCUAAUUUGGAGCAAGCUCUCUCAUAGUGUUAUUCUAUGCCAAGAUUUGCAAAGAUUGCUGGUAGAAGGCCACAAACAUAAAUUUCAUUGAACGAAGAAACAUAUUGUAUUUUUUUUUUUUUUUUUUUUUUUUGAAGAAGAAGAACAUAUUGUAGUUGAUAAGGAGGAUGUUUCAACUUAAUGUAUUUUCUCUUCUUAAACAAUGUUAGGACAUUCCCGUUGCA